rnacentral:rRNA from 1 species
GAUGAACGCUGGCGGCGUGCCUAAUACAUGCAAGUCGAGCGAACAGAUAAGGAGCUUGCUCCUUUGACGUUAGCGGCGGACGGGUGAGUAACACGUGGAUAACCUACCUAUAAGACUGAGAUAACUUCGGGAAACCGGAGCUAAUACCGGAUAACAUAUUGAACCGCAUGGUUCAAUAGUGAAAGGCGGCUUUGCUGUCACUUAUAGAUGGAUCCGCGCCGUAUUAGCUAGUUGGUAAGGUAACGGCUUACCAAGGCAACGAUACGUAGCCGACCUGAGAGGGUGAUCGGCCACACUGGAACUGAGACACGGUCCAGACUCCUACGGGAGGCAGCAGUAGGGAAUCUUCCGCAAUGGGCGAAAGCCUGACGGAGCAACGCCGCGUGAGUGAUGAAGGUCUUCGGAUCGUAAAACUCUGUUAUCAGGGAAGAACAAAUGUGUAAGUAACUGUGCACAUCUUGACGGUACCUGAUCAGAAAGCCACGGCUAACUACGUG